rnacentral:rRNA from 1 species
AGCCUGAACGCUGGCGGCGUGGCUAAGACAUGCAAGUCGCACGGUGUAGCAAUACACAGUGGCGAACGGGUGAGUAAAGAAUCGCUAACGUACCCCGGACUCUGGGAUAGCUAUCCGAAAGGGUAGGUAAUACCAGAUGACAUAUUUCUCCUGCAUGGGAGGAAUCUCAAAGGUCCGCCGGUCUGGGGAGCGGGCGAGUUUCGUAUCAGCUAGUUGGUGAGGUAACGGCUCACCAAGGCGACGACGGGUA